AUGGGUUUCAGAGAUAUACAUUGUUUCAAUCUUGCUCUAUUGGCCAAACAAGCUUGGCGUUUGAUAGAUAAUCUCGAGUCUCUUUGUGCCACAAUACUUCGUGCAAAAUAUUUUCCUGAUGGCGACUUGCUUAAUGCCACUUUGAAGAAGAAGGCGUCCUAUACAUGGCAGAGUAUUAUGGAAGGAGUGAGUACACUCAAGCUGGGACAUGUUUGGCGAGUUGGAGAUGGGCAAAAUAUUAAUAUUUGGUCUGAUGCAUGGAUACCACAGUCUCCAUCUAGAUUGCUGGUGACUAGAAGGGGCAAUCAACUACUCUCUAAGGUGGCUGAUUUGAUUGACCCAACCACAGGCCAAUGGGAUAUAGAACUAGUUGAGCAGACUUUUUGGCCUGUGGAUGUGUUUCGUAUACUCUCUAUCCCGCUACCAUCAUAUGAUAUGCCAGAUUUUGUGGCUUGGAACUUGCAAACUGGAGCUUUCUCGGUUAGGUCGGCUUACUAUGCGGUCUGGAAGGAUAAAUAUGGAUCAAGGGCUGCUACAGAUCGUCCUAGUGCGGCGAAUAUAAACCCAAUUUGGGAUGUUGUGUGGAAAUUGGGUUGCCCAACCAAGGUUAAAAACUUUUCUUGGAGAGCUCUUCAUGGCACCCUGCCAUGCCGUGUAAUCCUAGCUGAUAGACAUAUGAAGGUAAAUACAAAAUGCCCAGCAUGCGAGUUGCCUGAGAGUGUUAAACAUAUGCUUUUCCAAUGUCAGAAAGCAAGACAGGUCUGGUUGGGUUUGGGGUUGGAAGAUGUCAUUGAGCGAGCUUGUAAAGUGGAUCAUGCGGGUGAGGCGGUGCUUGAAUAUCUCCUUCAUCUUCCUGCAAACGAAACAUGUGUCCUCGGGCAAGGUAGAUCAGACCAUUUGAUAGCUGUUGCGACCUGGUAUUUAUGGUGGAAAGAAGAAAGAUGGUGCAUGGCGAGCAAAUGCAACAACCUGCACAAAUAA
rnacentral:rRNA from 1 species